GUGUCAGCAGCCGCGGUAAAACGUAGGAGCCAAGCGUUAUCCGAAUUCACUGGGCGUAAAGCGCGUGCAGGCGGCUUGGUAAGUUGGAUGUGAAAUCUCCUGGCUCAACUGGGAGAGGCCGUUCAAUACUGUCAGGCUAGAGGGCGACAGAGGAAAGUGGAAUUCCCGGUGUAGUGGUGAAAUGCGUAGAUAUCGGGAGGAACACCAGUGGCGAAGGCGACUUUCUGGGUCGCACCUGACGCUCAGACGCGAAAGCUAGGGGAGCGAACGGGAUUAGAAACCCCGGUAGUCCUAGCCGUAAACGAUGUAGACUUGGUGUCGGCGGGGUAAAAGCCGUCGGUGCCGAAGCAAACGCGAUAAGUCUACCGCCUGGGGACUACGGCCGCAAGGUUAAA
rnacentral:rRNA from 1 species